AGCGAACGCUGGCGGCAGGCUUAACACAUGCAAGUCGAACGAUCCUUCGGGAUAGUGGCGGACGGGUGAGUAACACGUGGGAACGUGCCCUUUGGUUCGGAACAACUCAGGGAAACUUGAGCUAAUACCGAAUGUGCCCUUCGGGGGAAAGAUUUAUCGCCAUUGGAGCGGCCCGCGCCUGAUUAGCUAGUUGGUGAGGUAAUGGCUCACCAAGGCGACGAUCAGUAGCUGGUCUGAGAGGAUGAUCAGCCACACUGGGACUGAGACACGGCCCAGACUCCUACGGGAGGCAGCAGUGGGGAAUCUUGCGCAAUGGGCGAAAGCCUGACGCAGCCAUGCCGCGUGAAUGAUGAAGGUCUUUGGAUUGUAAAAUUCUUUCACCGGGGACGAUAAUGACGGUGCCCGGAGAAGAAGCUCCGGCUAACUUCGUGCCAGCCGCCGCCGUAACAC
rnacentral:rRNA from 1 species